rnacentral:rRNA from 1 species
GACGAACGCUGGCGGCGUGCCUAAUACAUGCAAGUCGAACGCAGUGGGGACGGGUGAGUAACACGUGGGUAACCUCCCAUCAGAGGGGAUAACACUUGGAAACAGGUGCUAAACCGAUACUGAUGGAUGGACCCGCGGUGCAUUAGCUAGUUGGUGAGGUAACGGCUCACAAGGCCACGGUGCAUAGCGACCCUGGGAGGGGGGUCGGCCACACUGGGACUGAGCCACGGCCCAGACUCCUACGGUGGGCAGCAGGAGGGAAUCGUCGGCAAUGGACGAAAGUCGGACCGAGCAACGCCGGGGGAGUGAAGAAGGUUUUCGGAUCGUAAAACUCUGUUGUUAGAGAAGCGGUAUCUAACCAGAAAGCCACGGCUAACUACGUGCCAGCAGCCGCGGUAUAC